CUAUACAUGCAGUCGAGCGGAGUUUGAAUGGAAGCUUGCUUCCAUUCAUGCUUAGCGGCGGNACGGGUGAGUAACACGUAGGCAACCUGCCCUCAAGACUGGGAUAACUACCGGAAACGGUAGCUAAUACCGGAUAAUUUCUUUGUUCUCCUGAAGAGAGAAUGAAAGGCGGAGCAAUCUGCCNCUUGGGGAUGGGCCUGCGGCGCAUUAGCUAGUUGGUGGGGUAACGGCCCACCAAGGCGACGAUGCGUAGCCGACCUGAGAGGGUGAACGGCCACACUGGGACUGAGACACGGCCCAGACUCCUACGGGAGGCAGCAGUAGGGAAUCUUCCGCAAUGGGCGAAAGCCUGACGGAGCAACGCCGCGUGAGUGAUGAAGGUUUUCGGAUCGUAAAGCUCUGUUGCCAGGGAAGAACGUCCGGUAGAGUAACUGCUACCGGAGUGACGGUACCUGAGAAGAAAGCCCCGGCUAACUACGUGCCAGCAGCCGCGGUAAUACGUAGGGGGCAAGCGUUGUCCGGAAUUAUUGGGCGUAAAGCGCGCGCAGGCGGUCAUUUAAGUCUGGUGUUUAAACCUUGGGCUCAACCUGGGGUCGCACUGGAAACUGGGUGACUUGAGUACAGAAGAGGAAAGUGGAAUUCCACGUGUAGCGGUGAAAUGCGUAGAUAUGUGGAGGAACACCAGUGGCGAAGGCGACUUUCUGGGCUGUAACUGACGCU
rnacentral:rRNA from 2 species